AGCUGCGGUAACACCGGCGGCCCGAGUGGUGAUCGUGAUUAUUGGGUCUAAAGGGUCCGUAGCCGGUUUGGUCAGUCCUCCGGGAAAUCUGAUAGCUCAACUAUUAGGCUUUCGGGGGAUACUGCCAGACUUGGAACCGGGAGAGGUAAGAGGUACUACAGGGGUAGGAGUGAAAUCUUGUAAUCCCUGUGGGACCACCUGUGGCGAAGGCGUCUUACCAGAACGGGUUCGACGGUGAGGGACGAAAGCUGGGGGCACGAACCGGAUUAGAUACCCGGGUAGUCCCAGCCGUAAACGAUGCUCGCUAGGUGUCAGGCAUGGCGCGACCGUGUCUGGUGCCGCAGGGAAGCCGUGAAGCGAGCCACCUGGGAAGUACGGCCGCAAGGCUGAAACUUAAAGGAAUUGGCGGGGGAGCACAACAACGGGUGGAGCCCUGCGGUUUAAUUGGACUCAACGCCGGACAACUCACCGGGGGCGACAGCAAUAUGUAGGCCAAGCUGAAGACUUUGCCUGAAUCGCUGAGAAGAGGUGCAUGG
rnacentral:rRNA from 1 species